rnacentral:rRNA from 1 species
UACGAGGGGGGCGAGCGUUGUUCGGAAUUACUGGGCGUAAAGCGUGCGCAGGCGGUGAUGUAAGACAGAUGUGAAAUCCCCGGGCUCAACCUGGGAACUGCAUUUGUGACCGCAUCGCUGGAGUGCGGCAGAGGGGGAUGGAAUUCCGCGUGUAGCAGUGAAAUGCGUAGAUAUGCGGAGGAACACUGAUGGCGAAGGCAGCCCCCUGGGCCGGAACUGACGCUGAGGAG